GACUACUGGGGUAUCUAAUCCUGUUCGCUCCCCACGCUUUCGCUUCUCAGCGUCAGUGGUGGCCCAGAGACCUGCCUUCGCCAUUGGUGUUCCUCCUGAUAUCUGCGCAUUUCACCGCUACACCAGGAAUUCCAGUCUCCCCUACCACACUCUAGUCUGCCCGUACCCACUGCAAGUCCGGGGUUGAGCCCCGGAUUUUCACAGCAGACGCGACAAACCGCCUACAAGCUCUUUACGCCCAAUAAUUCCGGACAACGCUCGCACCCUACGUAUUACCGCGGCUGCUGGCACGUAGUUAGCCGGUGCUUCUUCUGCAGGUACCGUCACUUUCGCUUCUUCCCUGCUGAAAGAGGUUUACAACCCGAAGGCCUUCAUCCCUCACGCGGCGUCGCUGCAUCAGGCUUUCGCCCAUUGUGCAAUAUUCCCCACUGCAGCCCCCCGUAGG
rnacentral:rRNA from 1 species